rnacentral:rRNA from 1 species
AACGAACGCUGGCGGCGCGCUUAACACAUGCAAGUCGAACGGUCCCGAUAAAGCCGUAAGGUGAUAUCGGGGUAGUGGCAAACGGGUGAGUAAUACGUGGAUAAUCUACCUUUGAGUGGGGGAUAACUCUACGAAAGUGGAGCUAAUACCGCGUAAGACUACAGAAUCGCAUGAUUCAGUAGUAAAAGGCUUCGGUUUACCGGAGUCGCUUAAGGAUGAGUCCGUGCCUGAUUAGCUAGUUGGUAAGGUAAUAGCUUACCAAGGCAACGAUCAGUAGUCGGCCUGAAAGGGUGUUCGGCCACAUUGGAAUUGAGAUACGGUCCAGACUCCUACGGGAGGCAGCAGUGGGGAAUUUUGCGCAAUGGGGGAAACCCUGACGCAGUGACGCCGCGUGAACGAUGAAGUCCUUCGGGAUGUAAAGUUCUGUCAGGCGGGAAGAAUCCCCCGAUUUUAUCGGGGAAUGACGGUACCGCCAGAGGAAGCACCGGCUAAUUCCGUGCCAGCAGCCGCGGUAACACGGAGGGUGCAAGCGUUGUUCGGAAUUACUAGGCGUAAAGAGCGUGUAGGUGGUUAGCUAAGUCGGAUGUGAAAAUCCCAAGCUUAACUUGGAACGUGCAUUCGAAACUGGUUAACUUGAGUGUAGGAGAGGAGAGCGGAAUUCCUAGUGUAGCGGUGAAAUGCGUAGAUAUUAGGAAGAACACCGGUGGCGAAGGCGGCUCUCUGGCCUAAAACUGACACUGAGACGCGAAAGCGUGGGUGGCGAACAGGAUUAGAUACCCUGGUAGUCCACGCCGUAAACGAUGGGCAUUAGGUGUAGGAGGUACCCAAUCCUUCUGUGCCGAAGUUAACGCAUUAAAUGCCCCGCCUGGGGAGUACGACCGCAAGGUUG